rnacentral:rRNA from 1 species
CCUACGGGAGGCAGCAGUGAGGAAUAUUGGUCAAUGGACGAGAGUCUGAACCAGCCAAGUAGCGUGAAGGAUGACUGCCCUAUGGGUUGUAAACUUCUUUUAUAAAGGAAUAAAACGAGGCACGUGUGCCUUUUUGCAUGUACUUUAUGAAUAAGGAUCGGCUAACUCCGUGCCAGCAGCCGCGGUAAUACGGAGGAUCCGAGCGUUAUCCGGAUUUAUUGGGUUUAAAGGGAGCGUAGAUGGGUUGUUAAGUCAGUUGUGAAAGUUUGCGGCUCAACCGUAAAAUUGCAAUUGAUACUGGCAGUCGUGAGUACAGUUGAGGUAGGCGGAAUUCGUGGUGUAGCGGUGAAAUGCUUAGAUAUCACGAAGAACCCCGAGUGCGAAGGCAGCUUACUAAACUGUGACUGACAUUGAUGCUCGAAAGUGUGGGUAUCAAACAGGAUUAGAUACCCCUGUAGUC